UACGCAGGGUGCAAGCGUUAAUCGGAAUUACUGGGCGUAAAGCGUGCGCAGGCGGUUAUGUAAGACAGAUGUGAAAUGCCCGGGCUUAACCUGGGAACUGCAUUUGUGACUGCAUGGCUAGAGUUUGGCAGAGGGGGGUAGAAUUCCACGUGUAGCAGUGAAAUGCGUAGAUACGUGGAGGAACACCGAUGGCGAGGGCAGCCCCCUGGGUCAAGACUGACGCUCAUGCACGAAAGCGUGGGGAGCAAACAGG
rnacentral:rRNA from 1 species